GGUGCUCUUCUCCCCAUCCCUUCUCCUCUCUCUCUCUCUCUCCAGUUGCGUUCGAACCCUCUCUCUUCUCUCUCUAUAAAUAGAAAGCCUGGCUGGGUUUAAAUCUUCACCUUUCCUCUGAUAUUUUUAUUUUCUUGCCCUCUUACAUUCCAUCGUCCCGUCUUGCACGCGAUAAAAAUCUGUUUCUGGGAUCCAGUGAUGUCGAAGUCAGGAGCUCUGGAUCUUGCUUUUGGUGUGGGAGGAAGGAUCGACAAGAAGGAAGUUAAAUCGGCAGUGGAGCAGUAUGAGAACUAUCAUGUCUAUUUUGGAGGGGAUGAAGGAAACAAGAAAAGCCAACUACAGUGACAUGGUAAGACAACUUAUUUAUUUAUUUCUU